AUUGAACGCUGGCGGCAGGCUUAACACAUGCAAGUCGAGCGAGCGGCGGACGGGUGAGUAAUGUCUGGGAAACUGCCUGCUGGAGAGGGAUAACUACUGGAAACGGUAGCUAAUACCGCAUACCAUCAGAUGUGCCCAGAUGGGCUUAGCUAGUAGGUGGGGUAAUGGCUCACCUAGGCGACGAUCCCUAGCUGGUAUGAGAGGAUGACCAGCCACAAUGGAAAUGAGACACGGUCCAGACUCCUACGGGAGGCAGCAGUGGGGAAUAUUGCACAAUGGGAGCAAGCCUGCUGCAGCCAUGCCGCGUGUGUGAAGAAGGCCUUAGGGGUGGAAAGCACUUUCAGCGAGGAGGCGUUACGCGCAGAAGAAGGACCGGCUAACACCGUGCCAGGAGCCGCGGUAAUAC
rnacentral:rRNA from 1 species